rnacentral:rRNA from 1 species
UACGUAGGGACCGAGCGUUGUCCGGAAUCAUUGGGCGUAAAGAGCGUGUAGGCGGCUAUUUAAGUCCUGCGUGAAAUCCUGCGGCUCAACCGCAGACGGUCGUGGGAAACUGGAUGGCUAGAGUGCGGGAGAGGAGAGUGGAAUUCCCGGUGCAGCGGUGAAAUGCGCAGAUAUCGGGAAGAACACCCGUGGCGAAGGCGGCUCUCUGGAACGCAACUGACGCUGAGACGCGAAAGCGUGGGGAGCAAACAGG